rnacentral:snRNA from 1 species
UCUCAGAGUUUUUCAAGUGAGAA